GAAUAGCUCAGUUGGUAGAGCACGACCUUGCCAAGGUCGGGGUCGCGAGUUCGAGCCUCGUUUC
rnacentral:tRNA from 1 species